rnacentral:rRNA from 1 species
AACGAACGUUGGCGGCAUGCCUUACACAUGCAAGUCGAACGGUAGAGGGGGCAACCCCUUGAGAGUGGCGAACGGGUGAGUAAAGCAUCGGAACGUGCCCAGGAGUGGGGGAUAGCUCGGCGAAAGCCGGAUUAAUACCGCAUGUGACCUGAGGGUGAAAGCGGGGGACCGCAAGGCCUCGCGCUCGUGGAGCGGCCGAUGUCAGAUUAGGUAGUUGGUGGGGUAAAGGCCUACCAAGCCGACGAUCUGUAGCUGGUCUGAGAGGACGACCAGCCACACUGGGACUGAGACACGGCCCAGACUCCUACGGGAGGCAGCAGUGGGGAAUUUUGGACAAUGGGCGCAAGCCUGAUCCAGCCAUGCCGCGUGCGGGAAGAAGGCCUUCGGGUUGUAAACCGCUUUUGUCAGGGAAGAAAUCUGCCGGGUUAAUACCCUGGUGGGAUGACGGUACCUGGAGAAUAAGCACCGGCUAACUACGUGCCAGCCGCCGCGGUAA